CCCAUGGAAUGACCCGCUUGGGAAACAUACUUCUUUAUAUGCCCAUAUGGACCUGCUACGCUAUGGAAUGUAAAGAAGUAUGUAUCUCAGGCUGGGACCUCUCUC
rnacentral:miRNA from 1 species